AUUGGGCCGAUUUUUGCCUUAUCGGUAGACAAUCGGAAUCGGUAGAAUUAUCUGUAUUUCCGAUUGUAUAAAACCGAUUGUUGAGAAAAUACGCACUUUAAAAAUGAUAUGCAUUGCACGUUGAUACACGUUGCGUUUUAACGCAAUAUGUUAAAUUAAUGCGUGAAGCGUGCCAUUUAUUAACGGUUUUAACGGUCUUUGGUUGCAG